UACGUAGGGUGCGAGCGUUGUCCGGAAUUAUUGGGCGUAAAGAGCUCGUAGGCGGUCUGUCGCGUCUGCUGUGAAAUCCCGAGGCUCAACCUCGGGCUUGCAGUGGGUACGGGCAGGCUAGAGUGCGGUAGGGGAGAAUGGAACUCCUGGUGUAGCGGUGGAAUGCGCAGAUAUCAGGAGGAACACCGGUGGCGAAGGCGGGUCUCUGGGCCGAUACUGACGCUGAGGAGCGAAAGCAUGGGUAGCGAACAGG
rnacentral:rRNA from 1 species